GACGAACGCUGGCGGCGUGCUUAACACAUGCAAGUCGAACGGAAAGGCCCUGCUUGCAGGGUACUCGAGUGGCGAACGGGUGAGUAACACGUGGGUGAUCUGCCCUGCACUUCGGGAUAAGCCUGGGAAACUGGGUCUAAUACCGGAUAGGAGCCAUUUUUAGUGUGAUGGUUGGAAAGUUUUUUUCGGUGUAGGAUGAGCUCGCGGCCUAUCAGCUUGUUGGUGGGGUAAUGGCCUACCAAGGCGGCGACGGGUAGCCGGCCUGAGAGGGUGGACGGCCACAUUGGGACUGAGAUACGGCCCAGACUCCUACGGGAGGCAGCAGUGGGGAAUAUUGCACAAUGGGCGCAAGCCUGAUGCAGCGACGCCGCGUGGGGGAUGACUGCCUUCGGGUUGUAAACUCCUUUCGCUAGGGACGAAGCUUUUUGUGACGGUACCUAGAGAAGAAGCACCGGCUAACUACGUG
rnacentral:rRNA from 1 species